UGGGGAAUAUUGCACAAUGGGCGCAAGCCUGAUGCAGCCAUGCCGCGUGUAUGAAGAAGGCCGUCGGGUUGUAAAGUACUUUCAGCGAGGAGGAAGGCAUUAAGGUUAAUAACCUUGGUGAUUGACGUUACUCGCAGAAGAAGCACCGGCUAACCCGUGCCGCAGCCGCGGUAAUACGAGGGUGCAAGCGUUAAUCGGAAUUACUGGGCGUAAAGCGCACGCAGGCGGUCUGUCAAGUCGGAUGUGAAAUCCCCGGGCUCAACCUGGGAACUGCAUUCGAAACUGGCAGGCUAGAGUCUUGUAGAGGG
rnacentral:rRNA from 1 species